rnacentral:rRNA from 1 species
GAGUUUGAUCAUGGCUCAGAGUGAACGCUGGCGGUAUGCUUAACACAUGCAAGUCGAACGGUAACAUGAAAGAGCUUGCUCUUUUGAUGACGAGUGGCGGACGGGUGAGUAACACGUGGGAAUCUACCGAGUAGCGGGGGAUAGCCCGGAGAAAUCCGGAUUAAUACCGCAUGUGCACUACGGUGUAAAGGGGGCCUCUUCUUGAAAGCUUCCACUAUUCGAUGAGCCUGCGUCAGAUUAGCUAGUUGGUGGGGUAAUGGCCUACCAAGGCGACGAUCUGUAGCUGGUCUGAGAGGAUGAUCAGCCACACUGGGACUGAGACACGGCCCAGACUCCUACGGGAGGCAGCAGUGGGGAAUAUUGGACAAUGGGGGCAACCCUGAUCCAGCAAUGCCGCGUGUGUGAAGAAGGCCUGCGGGUUGUAAAGCACUUUCAGUAGAGAAGAAAAGCCUCGGGUUAAUACCCCGGAGUCUUGACGUAACCUACAGAAGAAGCACCGGCUAACUCCGUGCCAGCAGCCGCGGUAAUACGGAGGGUGCGAGCGUUAAUCGGAAUUACUGGGCGUAAAGCGCGCGUAGGCGGCUAGGUCAGUCGAAUGUGAAAGCCCCGGGCUUAACCUGGGAAUUGCACUCGAUACUGCCUGACUAGAGUAUGGGAGAAGGGAAAUUGGAAAUUUUCCGGUGUAGCCGGUGAAAUGCGUAGAUAUCGGAAAGGAACACCAGUGGCCGAAGGCGACUUCCUGGCCCAAUACCGACGCUGAGGUGCGAAAGCGUGGGUAGCGAACAGGAUUAGAUACCCUGGUAGUCCACGCCGUAAACGAUGUCUAUUAGCUGUUGGGUAUAUUAAGAUACUUAGUGGCGCAGCAAACGCGAUAAAUAGACCGCCUGGGGGAGUACGGCCGCAAGGUUAAAACUCCAAUGAAUUGACGGGGGGCCCCCCCAAACGGUGGAGCAUGUGGGUUUAAUUCUAUGCAACCCCGAGAAACCUUUCCAGGUCUUUGACUUCCCGAAAAACUUUUCCCAAAAAAGAAUUGGUGGCCCUCCCGGAAACCUUUAAAAAAAGGGGUUGCAUGGGGUGUCCUCCCCCCCCCGUCCCGGGAA